UACGAAGGGGGCUAGCGUUGUUCGGAAUUACUGGGCGUAAAGCGCACGUAGGCGGACUUUUAAGUCAGGUGUGAAAUCCCGGGGCUCAACCUCGGAACUGCAUUUGAAACUGGAAGUCUUGAGACCAGGAGAGGUUAGCGGAAUACCGAGUGUAGAGGUGAAAUUCGUAGAUAUUCGGUGGAACACCAGUGGCGAAGGCGGCUAACUGGACUGGUACUGACGCUGAGGUGCGAAAGUGUGGGGAGCAAAC
rnacentral:rRNA from 1 species